rnacentral:rRNA from 1 species
UUCCGGUUGAUCCUGCCGGACCCGACUGCUAUCAGAGUGGGACUAAGCCAUGCGAGUCAACAUAGCAAUAUGUGGCAUACGGCUCAGUAACACGAAGUCAACAUGCCCAGGGGACGUGGAUAACCUCGGGAAACUGAGGAUAAACCGCGAUAGGUCAUCACUUCUGGAAUGGGUAAUGACUUAAACCUAUAUGGCCCCUGGAUUGGACUGCGGCCGAUCAGGCUGUUGGUGAGGUAAUGGCCCACCAAACCUGUAACCGGUACGGGCUCUGAGAGGAGGAGCCCGGAGAUGGGCACUGAGACAAGGGCCCAGGCCCUAUGGGGCGCAGCAGGCGCGAAACCUCUGCAAUAGGCGAAAGCUUGACAGGGUUACUCUGAGUGAUUUCCGUUAAGGAGAUCUUUUGGCACCUCUAAAAAUGGUGCAGAAUAAGGGGUGGGCAAGUCUGGUGUCAGCCGCCGCGGUAAUACCAGCACCCCGAGUGGUCGGGACGUUUAUUGGGCCUAAAGCAUCCGUAGCCGGUUCUACAAGUCUUCCGUUAAAUCCACCUGCUUAACAGAUGGGCUGCGGAAGAUACUAUAGAGCUAGGAGGCGGGAGAGGCAAGCGGUACUCGAUGGGUAGGGGUAAAAUCCGUUGAUCCAUUGAAGACCACCAGUGGCGAAGGCGGCUUGCCAGAACGCGCUCGACGGUGAGGGAUGAAAGCUGGGGGAGCAAACCGGAUUAGAUACCCGGGUAGUCCCAGCUGUAAACGAUGCAGACUCGGUGAUGAGUUGGCUUAUUGCUAACUCAGUGCCGCAGGGAAGCCGUUAAGUUUGCCGCCUGGGGAGUACGGUCGCAAGACUGAAACUUAAAGGAAUUGGCGGGGGAGCACCACAAGGGGUGAAGCCUGCGGUUCAAUUGGAUUCAACGCCGGA